rnacentral:piRNA from 1 species
UCAAAGACUCUGGAAGGACCAGAAAAGC